rnacentral:rRNA from 1 species
UACGAAGGGGGCUAGCGUUGUUCGGAAUUACUGGGCGUAAAGCGCACGUAGGCGGAUAUUUAAGUCAGGGGUGAAAUCCCGGGGCUCAACCCCGGAACUGCCUUUGAUACUGGGUAUCUCGAGUCCGAGAGAGGUGAGUGGAAUUCCGAGUGUAGAGGUGAAAUUCGUAGAUAUUCGGAGGAACACCAGUGGCGAAGGCGCUCACUGGCUCGGUACUGACGCUGAGGUGCGAAAGCCAGGGGAGCAAACGGG